rnacentral:tRNA from 1 species
GCGCCCAUAGCUCAGAUGGAUAGAGCGCUUCCCUGCGGAGGAAGAGGCCGGAGGUUCAACUCCUCCUGGGCGCG